UGGCUGGCCUAGUCACGUGGAUACUUCGUUGAAAAACCUUUUCGUCACAUGAGAAAUCUAGCGGUUCAAACCGCAGUCUUCCACCGACGCUAUCCAGUCUUUUU
rnacentral:vault_RNA from 1 species